AUGCCCAUCCCGGGCCCUGCCUGUCUUCCCGAGCCCAUGGCCUUCUGCACAGCUCCAGCCUCCAGGACCACAGCCACAGAGCCCCUUCCACCCUGGAAGAUGCCCUUCGUGCCUGUGCUCAUGCUCUUCCCGCAGAUGAAGUCUUUCUACCUCUUCACUGCCCAGCGACUUAGAUCCGUCCAAAUGCCACAUCCUCUGUGCAGCUCGCCCUGGUUGGAACCAGUCUGUUCUCAGCAGAUGGCAGUGGGAGCAACCACAGGAUCCGAAACCAUGAGGCCCGGGACUUGCUGAGAGCCAUGCCCGCUUGACUUCCAGAUCUCAGAGAAUCAGUCUCUUAACAAUGGAGCUGUGAUGAUGAUGAGGAUGGUGACCACUGCUUGCAGGUCCCCAAGUCCUAGGACAGGCCCUGCAGUGAGCUACAUGCCUUGUGUAGUCUUCUGGCUUCAUCCUCCCGACUAGAAGGAGGAGCCACUAUGGCAGGCAGACCUGGACCCCGACACAAGCAUACUAAGUGCCUGGCCUAGGUCACACAGGGUCGCACCCUUGAACCAGGGAAUCUGACUCCAGACCACCCCGCUUAAUGUUUCUGAGCAAAUGCUGAGUGGCAGGUGUCCUUCCCUGCAACCUGUCUCCACCUGGCCACAGUGAGGAAAGGUAAAGGAAGCCUUUGCUUCGUGGGCCCGUGAGGAGGCGGACACUCCCCAAGCCACUAAAACCAGACACUCCUGACGGAUGCCACUCCAUACUUUCCACUCAGUAAACCUGAAAAAUCAACUCUCGUCCCUCGACGCUGUCUGGGAAUGAACACACCACUGCCUCUGCCCGCAGCCCACAGCAUCUAGAGCAGACACUGAACAUGGCCCCAAGGGGGCCAAUCAUGAAACCACAGCCUUCGCCGUCUGAUUCCUUCUUCCCAGACUGUUAGACUAACACUGGACCCUGGUCUGGGAUACAGAGAGUGGGCAAGGUGGUGUUCUGGGCCACAGGUAUUGAAGGAAUGGAGGUGGCUUCCCUGGAAUGUGCCAGAACUGGCAACUGCU
rnacentral:lncRNA from 1 species